rnacentral:rRNA from 1 species
CCCGAGGCCUAGAGCCUCCUGAAGGGCCCAGCGAGACCAGCUGGUGGAUAGGCACGGUGUGGAAGCGCUGCAAGGCGUUGAGCUAACGUGUACUAAUGGCCCGUGAGGCUUGACCCU